ensembl:lncRNA
AAAAAGGUCCGCGUGAUGGUCUUACCUUUAAAGCUUAAAUCAGGUUCACCGCAGGGUUCCUUGUCCCCGGGGGGGUUGUUUAGUCAGAAAACACAGGUAGAAAGGCGUGAACCCCGUAAAAAAAAAAAGUGUCCUUCUUCACCACCGGUCCCGGUAAACCGCGACAAAGUAUCGUUUGUCCGCCGCGACAGAGUAGCGGAAUGAAAGAGCCGGAGACGAAUGGCGCGCUGGUCCUGGAUGCGAAACUUUGUGUCCGACCUCACUGCGCGCUGGUCUUUCUGCGGUCUCACCAACAAGCUGCGGAAAAAUCAGCCCGCACUCGGUUCUUUACUCCUGCUGCUGGAUGUUUAUCGCCUCUGCGGGGAGUCCAGCAGCUCUUACGUCAUCGAGUCUGGGCCAAAGGCCACGAUGAAGUUAAUUACCGGACGUGACGUCUGAACAUGAAGAAGUCUCUUCUUACUGUCGAAAUAUAUUCCUCAAUUGACGGAAGGGCGUUUUAUGAAAGUGAUGAACAAAUAGAAAAUAAACUUUGAUAACUGACAUUUUAAUCUUUGGCAAAUCCUUCUUAUUAUGGAGCCUUUUCACAGCAGACUUUUUACCAGCAGGAAAUCACAGGCCUAACUAAUGAUGUUAACAAUGUCUAUUCCAUUGUGUAAAAUAAGAUGCAGCCAUCAUUCUUGUUUUCAGAUCCUUGAUUUUACUAUUAUGAGAUGUCAAAAUGUUACACGGUUAAAACAUAGUUUGUCAUGUAUAUUAUAUUACAUGCCAACCGAAAUUGAUUAAUUACUUUUGCAUGCUUUUAAAGUGAUUUUUAUAGAAAUGCAAUUCUUGUGAGAUUCUUUAUCUUUACUUUCACUGCUCGCGUUAAAGUUGUGUUUAACUGUUUUACCAACAGGUAAACCUAAAAAAGUAACAUGGCCAUUAUUGGGGAAACAAGUUCCAGAUUAUCUUCACACUAAAUUCCCUUUUGCAAACUAUAACUGCCAGCGCAUUAUAUUUGUGAUAAUAAUAUGUAUGUUCAUAUGGAUUAAAGAAGGAACUAUAAUGGCUAAAAUAGGAAUGUAUUCUCCCUUCUUCAUUCUGUAUAUUCAAUUCAAUUCAAUU